AAUGAACGUUGGCGGCAUGGAUUAGGCAUGCAAGUCGAGCGCGAUGUGUAGCAAUACACGGAAAGCGGCGGAAGGGAGAGUAAUACGUGGGAAUCUGCCCUUAGACCUGGGAUAGCAGCGGGAAACUGCUGGUAAUACCAGAUAAUGUCUAUGGACCAAAGGUGUGAUUCCGUCUAGGGAUGAGCCCACGUCCUAUUAGCUAGUUGGUAGGGUAAUGGCCUACCAAGGCGAUGAUGGGUAGCGGGUGUGAGAGCAUGACCCGCCUCACGUGGGACUGAGACACUCGCCAGACACCGUACGGGUGGCUGCAGUCGAGAAUCUUCGGCAAUGGGCGCAAGCCUGACCGAGCGAUGCCGCGUGCGGGAUGGAGGCCUUCGGGUUGUAAACCGCUGUCGAGGGGAGCAACUCCAUAGAUUAUCUUUAUGGAUUGAGUGAUCCUGGAGGAAGGACGGGCUAAGUUCGUG
rnacentral:rRNA from 1 species